GACGAACGCUGGCGGCGUGCCUAAUACAUGCAAGUUGAGCGCUGAAGGUUGGUACUUGUACCGACUGGAUGAGCAGCGAACGGGUGAGUAACGCGUGGGGAAUCUGCCUUUGAGCGGGGGACAACAUUUGGAAACGAAUGCUAAUACCGCAUAAAAACUUUAAACACAAGUUUUAAGUUUGAAAGAUGCAAUUGCAUCACUCAAAGAUGAUCCCGCGUUGUAUUAGCUAGUUGGUGAGGUAAAGGCUCACCAAGGCGAUGAUACAUAGCCGACCUGAGAGGGUGAUCGGCCACAUUGGGACUGAGACACGGCCCAAACUCCUACGGGAGGCAGCAGUAGGGAAUCUUCGGCAAUGGACGAAAGUCUGACCGAGCAACGCCGCGUGAGUGAAGAAGGUUUUCGGAUCGUAAAACUCUGUUGGUAGAGAAGAACGUGGGUGAGAGUGGAAAGCUCAUCAAGUGACGGUAACUACCCAGAAAGGGACGGCUAACUACGUG
rnacentral:rRNA from 1 species